AUGUCAGGAAGGUCUCCUUCACAUGGUCAUUUAGGAUCUCAGAUUCUUUGUUCUAAACUUUUUAUUUUAUAUUGGAGGAUAGCCAAUUAACAAGGUUGUAAUGGUUUCAGGUGGACUGCAAAGGGACUCGGCCAUACAUAUACAUGUGUCCAUUCUCCCCAAACCCCUCUCCCAUCCAGGCUGCCACAUAACACUGAGCGGAGUUCCCUGUGCUGCACAAAUGUAUCCCCUCAGAAUGGAUAUAGAAUUCCUAGCACUGAUGGAAUUCUGAGAUGGAAGCUACCUUUGAGAUUAUGGGAUCUUCCUGAUGCAGGAAUCCAGCACGCGUCUCCUGCAUCGGCAGCGGGAUUCUUCACCACUGAGCCACCUGGGAAGCCCUUAUAUAAUGGAUGCUUUGUCUUCGUCCCUAGUGCCUUGCCGGCUGUGCUGAAACAGUCAGAGCCCAUCGGACCACACUGCGUCUGGAGUGCUCGUGGCAGCCUUUUUUCCUGACCCACCCUUAAGUCUCACCUAUGCCGGGACGCUCUGGAAGGAAGCCGAUGGGCAGUGUGGAGCAGCGCCUGGCCCCUUCUGUCCUCCAAGAGGCCACAUCCGACACAAGGCCCCCAUUGUGUCUCGGGGAACAGUGACCCCCACAGUCCUGCGCAGGCUGGCCUUCUUCGGGGGAAGCGAGCGGCAUUGGCUCCCGCGACCCGAGCCCGGCCAGGGGCGCGGAGGCGGCGGCAGGCGGCUCAGGUUGCCGAAGCGCAGAGCCGCGCGCUCUAGGGCCGCGCGGGCGCCCGGGGCCCCGCACGCCGGCCUCGCGCGGGCGCCGCCGCACCUGGGGGCGGAGCCAGGCCCGCGGCCCGCCCC
ensembl:lncRNA